rnacentral:rRNA from 1 species
CCUACGGGAGGCAGCAGUGAGGAAUAUUGGUCAAUGGACGAGAGUCUGAACCAGCCAAGUAGCGUGAAGGAUGACUGCCCUAUGGGUUGUAAACUUCUUUUAUAUGGGAAUAAAAUGUUCCACGUGUGGGAUUUUGUAUGUACCAUAUGAAUAAGGAUCGGCUAACUCCGUGCCAGCAGCCGCGUUAAUACGGAGGAUCCGAGCGUUAUCCGGAUUUUUUGGGGUUAAAGGGAGCUUAGGUAGAUUGUUAAGUAAGUUGUGAAAGUUUGCGGCUCAACCGUAAAAUUGCAGUUGAAACUGGCAGUCUUGAGUACAGUAGAGGUGGGCGGAAUGCGUGGUGUAGCGGUGAAAUGCUUAGAUAUCACGAAGAACUCCGAUUGCGAAGGCAGCUCACUGGACUGCAACUGACACUGAGGCUCGAAAGUGUGGGUAUCAAACAGGAUUAGAUACCCCUGUAGUC